GAUGAACGCUGGCGGCGUGCCUAAUACAUGCAAGUCGAGCGAACAGACGAGGAGCUUGCUCCUCUGACGUUAGCGGCGGACGGGUGAGUAACACGUGGAUAACCUACCUAUAAGACUGGGAUAACUUCGGGAAACCGGAGCUAAUACCGGAUAAUAUAUUGAACCGCAUGGUUCAAUAGUGAAAGACGGUUUUGCUGUCACUUAUAGAUGGAUCCGCGCCGCAUUAGCUAGUUGGUAAGUUAACGGCUUACCAAGGCAACGAUGCGUAGCCGACCUGAGAGGGUGAUCGGCCACACUGGAACUGAGACACGGUCCAGACGCCUACGGGAGGCAGCAGUAGGGAAUCUUCCGCAAUGGGCGAAAGCCUGACGGAGCAACGCCGCGUGAGUGAUGAAGGUCUUCGGAUCGUAAAACUCUGUUAUUAGGGAAGAACAAAUGUGUAAGUAACUAUGCACGUCUUGACGGUACCUAAUCAGAAAGCCACGGCUAACUACGU
rnacentral:rRNA from 1 species